CUCAAAGGAAUUGACGGGGACCCGCACAAGCGGUGGAUGAUGUGGUUUAAUUCGAUGCAACGCGAAAAACCUUACCCACCUUUGACAUGUACGGAAUUCGCCAGAGAUGGCUUAGUGCUCGAAAGAGAACCGUAACACAGGUGCUGCAUGGCUGUCGUCAGCUCGUGUCGUGAGAUGUUGGGUUAAGUCCCGCAACGAGCGCAACCCUUGUCAUUAGUUGCUACAUUUAGUUGGGCACUCUAAUGAGACUGCCGGUGACAAACCGGAGGAAGGUGGGGAUGACGUCAAGUCCUCAUGGCCCUUAUAGGUGGGGCUACACACGUCAUACAAUGGCUGGUACAAAGGGUUGCCAACCCGCGAGGGGGAGCUAAUCCCAUAAAACCAGUCGUAGUCCGGAUCGCAGUCUGCAACUCGACUGCGUGAAGUCGGAAUCGCUAGUAAUCGUGGAUCAGAAUGUCACGGUGAAUACGUUCCCGGGUCUUGUACACACCGCCCGUCACACCAUGGGAGCGGGUUCUGCCAGAAGUAGUUAGCUUAACCGCAAGGAGGGCGAUUACCACGGCAGGGUUCGUGACUGGGGUGAAGUCGUAACAAGGHGCCGUUC
rnacentral:rRNA from 1 species